rnacentral:lncRNA from 1 species
AAAGUUGAUUUGACUUUCCCCUCCCACUCUCACGCCAAACCACAUCGAACAAUGAUAAACUAUUAUGCCAAGAGAGACUAGUGGGACUAUUUAAUUUACCAUAAAAGCCUAACAACCAACCCUUCCAAUUCAUUCUUUCACUUUGCAAAAGUCAGAACAUAGCACUACUCCCUGCAAACUCUCUCUCACGCCCUCAAUUAGUUUCUAACCCAUUUUUCUACUCUCAAAAGCAAAACUCAGCUCAACACCACCAACCAUGGGAGUUUCUUGCAUGCAAUCCACUCAUUAGUCUCCUCGGGUCAAUUAGAGCAAGGUAAGAAUUUGAAUCUCUCACUUCUCUUCUUUCUCAAUUCACGCCAUUCACCCUCUCACCCAUAUGGGUUUCAUUCUCCAACCUCUUUGGUUUGUGGCUUGCAUGUACCUAUUUUGAUGUUCUUGGAGCUGUCAUGUUUGGUUAGAAGCUAGAAAAUUAGUGGGAACUUCAAGGACUUGAUGAAUUAAUGGAAGGAGCAGAUUUGGGAAAAAGAAAGGAAUAUGAUAGUUCAAGCUUUUCAACGACAAUUGUCAGUUGCUAUCAUCUUCAAUUAAAAGGUGGGUUCUUAGGUCCCUUGCCUUAAGAAUUUAAUUAGAAGCUUAGUUACCCCAAAAAUCACACUUGUGCAUGUUAACAUAGGUUUAAUUUAGGAUAUUUGGAAUUAAACAUUAAUUGGAUUAAUUAACUAUUACAUUAAUUCCCUACAUGUUUGAAAUGAUAGAAAUUCAUGGAAUCUAGUGUAAACAAGUGAAUUGCAAACUGUUUUAGAGUUUCUGUCUUGAGAAUUAUGCAGGAUUUUCGUGUUUGAAUCGGUUCAUGCGAGCUAUGAAUAGGUGCAAAAGCCUCCCUGGGCUUGAGAAAUGCGCGUCUGAAACUUAUGAGCAGGUUCAUGUCUUCUGUGCAUAAGCUUCAGCAUGCAGUUUUUAUAAAAACUAGGAACCUUUGCACCGAUACGUGCCCUGUAUGAGCUGACUCAAAGCACGAGGAACAUAGUCAUGCAGAGAUGCAUAGGUAGCAUGAAUCGGUGCAUAGAGAGCCAAAAACAUAUUUUCAACAAACUUGGUUUCUUGCACCGGUACAUAUUUCCUUUGAAUUGAUGCAUCCUGGGACAACUUUUAUAUUUUAAAAGUAAUUAGAUUCCAUGGUUUCAUGUUUUCCCACAUGCUUUAAAAUCAAUCCAGACUAAGAAUUAGGUGAGGAAACUAUGAUUAUUAGAAUUACCCCGGGAUGGUUGUUAAGUUAAGAUUACUAAGAAAUUAGAAUAGUCGAGUAGAUUAGUGGUUAACACCCAAACCACCAUUCAUUAUAAUUUCGACUAUAGUAAGAUUUCCGUACAUUAGUAGGAAUCCCUUAAGUUAAAUAAUUAAUGUGAGUAAGACCAACGUGGCAUAGCUAUGUCACAAUGGGUAGUGGAGAACAUCCUGAGUGGAGAACAUCCUAAGAGGAGUACAUCCUUAGUGGACCUUUCGAGAUAUACUCACCUCGGAAGCUUCCUAUAAAAUGAAUCAAGAUGACUAUUGUGUGAUACAUCUUUAGUUUCUAUUAAGAGAAUUAUUAUGUUUAAGUCAUUCUUAUGAAUGUAACGAAUUAACGAUCGAUUCCAAUAAUGAGUCGUAAGAGAUAGUUGUACCUAGAUGGGUAGCGAGGAAUCCAUUGAGACGAAGUGACUGUCUCACCCCACUCCCUUUUGAUACAGAUAAACAGGUUGCUGAGCAGAGAGCUAUGGACUGAUCGAAGUGAAGUGGCAUUGGAUGUUACUGUCAUUGUUUAUCUGGAUAUUCUAUUAAGUCGUUGUAUAAGUUAGUGUUAUAACGUAUUUGUAUUGACGGGUUAUUUAUGGCUCUGAUGUAAGUUUUAAGUUACAUUAUGACAGGAAUGUUAUCAUUCAGUUUAGUCAAUACUUGUAUAAUGACAAGGCCUUUAUGUAUUAUGGGUAUAUACAACGAGUUUAAUUCAGUGAUUUUAAUGUAUCCCGAUCUUUUUACUUACGUCUCGGCUAAUAUUCUAGAUAAAUUAGCUGGGGUGUUAUACAAACUAAG